rnacentral:rRNA from 1 species
AGAUUGCAGGCUGCAACUCGCCUGCAUGAAGUCGGAAUUGCUAGUAAUCGCAGAUCAGCAUGCUGCGGUGAAUACGUUCCCGGGCCUUGUACACACCGCCCGUCACACCAUGGGAGUCGGUAACACCCGAAGUCGGUAGCCUAACCGUAAGGGGGGAGCUGCCGAAGGUGGGAUAAGCGACUGGGGUGAAGUCGUAACAAGGUAAC